AUAAAAACAUUUCAGCACAAACCCAUUCAAGAUCAGACAAACAUUUAGAAGGGAGACAGAACAGGAUUGCUGACGGGUCUGCCGGCUUUCAGCGCCCCUUACAAAAAAGGUGAGAUACAGGUAAACAAGUGGGGGGGAAUGGUAGAAAAAAAAAGAAGAUUAAAAUAAAACAAAAUAAAAUCGGUAAUAGAGGUAAUUAUUGUUAUUAUUCAUCCAUCCAUCCUUUUUCUACCGCUUAUUCCCUUCUGGGUGGCGGGCGGCGCUGCAGCCUAUCUCAGCUACAAUCGGGCGGAAGGCGGGGUACACUCUGGACCAGUGGUUCCUCAAAUGGGGGUACGCAUACCCCUGGGGGUACUUGAAGGUAUGCCAAAGGAGGACUGUGGAUAGACGGAGCUGGCGGUCUGACGGAGCGGCAGGGCACUCUUGAGCCCGGCCCAAGAUGGCGGCGAGGAGGUGGAGUGUAUAAAAGGGGAGAAGGAGGAGAGAACGAGGAGAAGGAGGUGGAGAACACACAGUGCCUGAAGAGCAGGAUCGACAGAGCGACUAAAGAGCGACACGGAGGAGCGAGCAGCGGGAGCGGCGA